AACCAUAGAAACCUGCGGAGUACCUGCGGAGGGAUCAUCAACGGAAGGGAAAAGGCGCGUGGGGCGGGCGCAAGCUCGUUUCCACGUUCUUCUGCUCCCGAAAUCCUGUAUUCACCCCAAGUUCCUUUAAAAUUUCAAUAAAAAACAUUUGCAAAAAGUCCACCACCUUUUUAAGGUGGCAUCUAAUUGCACAAAGCGAAAACUUUUAACAACGGAUCU
rnacentral:misc_RNA from 1 species